rnacentral:tRNA from 1 species
UCCCUGGUGUAGAUGGUAAAGAAUCUGCCUGCAGUGCAGGAGACCCAGGUUCGAUCCCUGGUUUGGGAA